rnacentral:rRNA from 2 species
CUAUACAUGCAGUCGAGCGGACAGAAGGGAGCUUGCUCCCGGAUGUUAGCGGCGGACGGGUGAGUAACACGUGGGUAACCUGCCUGUAAGACUGGGAUAACUCCGGGAAACCGGAGCUAAUACCGGAUAGUUCCUUGAACCGCAUGGUUCAAGGAUGAAAGACGGUUUCGGCUGUCACUUACAGAUGGACCCGCGGCGCAUUAGCUAGUUGGUGGGGUAAUGGCUCACCAAGGCGACGAUGCGUAGCCGACCUGAGAGGGUGAUCGGCCACACUGGGACUGAGACACGGCCCAGACUCCUACGGGAGGCAGCAGUAGGGAAUCUUCCGCAAUGGACGAAAGUCUGACGGAGCAACGCCGCGUGAGUGAUGAAGGUUUUCGGAUCGUAAAGCUCUGUUGUUAGGGAAGAACAAGUGCGAGAGUAACUGCUCGCACCUUGACGGUACCUAACCAGAAAGCCACGGCUAACUACGUGCCAGCAGCCGCGGUAAUACGUAGGUGGCAAGCGUUGUCCGGAAUUAUUGGGCGUAAAGGGCUCGCAGGCGGUUUCUUAAGUCUGAUGUGAAAGCCCCCGGCUCAACCGGGGAGGGUCAUUGGAAACUGGGAAACUUGAGUGCAAAAGAGGAGAGUGGAAUUCCACGUGUAUCGGUGAAAUGCGUAGAGAUGUGUACGAACACCACUGGCGAAGGCGACUCUCUGGUCUGUAACUGACGCUCAGGAGCGAAAGCGUGGAGAGCGAACA